AGAAGAGUGAGCUGGGUGUCCUGCACGACCGGUGGUAGUGAUGGACUCACAGCGUGAUUCUGUGGGUGUGCUGUGCCCAGUACUGGGAAUUGAACACAGGGCCUCAUACAUGCUAGACAAGCACUCUACCACUGAGCGACAUUCUCAACCCCACCUUGAGCACUUUUGUGGCAGAUGGCUUCUUCAGCACUCCGGAGAGCAGAAUCCAGAGGACUGAAUUAACCCUCUUCAAUAGUCAGGGGUUAAGGUAGUGUUUAUACAUGGACAAGAUGGACUGUCAUCUACUCCUUUUGAAGGUCGUUGUGGUCACGGAGCUGAAGUCAAACAAAGAGAUACACCUCCUUGCCUUCUUCUGCAUGUCAAUAUUUUUUCGUUUUAAUAUCCACUUUCCAAUUUCAGGGUUCAAGAGUGCUGGUUUCUGCUUUCAACUCCAAGAUCACUGGGACGUAGGUGUACCUUUCUCUUGGUACAGUAAAGCCUGUAUGGCUCAGCCUCCAUCUGGACCUUUGGUGGCUUAUUUGACUCUGUAGUUUUCUCUAGUCUUCAAAAUAAAACUUUCUGAAACAGGGCUUAAUUCUGGGUUGGAAAUUAGUUGACCAAAGCCACGCUUGAAAGAGUCUUUUCUUUUAUUGAUUUUUUUUUCCUCUGAAGACCAAAGGUUGAAAAACAGCUGUUGGUUGUUUAUACAGUAUUUUUUUAUUUAAGUGUUAGACAAUAGCUGUUUUCUUCUCCACUUAUAACAGCACAUUUUUUUUCUAGGGUCAUUAAAAUCUGUCCAUGUGGCCAGGAAUAUUAGAUGUGCCACUUCCCUCUCUCUACUAGGCUUCUGGAGGAGACUCAGAAUUUUGUUUUCCUUCUUUUUCAAUUUCUGUUUAUUUUGGUCUUAAAGUCAGACUUUGGUGUCUCAGAAUAGAUGGCUGAAUUUGCUUCUGGGUCAGAACCCUGAGGAUCACCUCUUGGGCCAACUUGACACAGGUAUUCAUGUGAGGCACUCUCGAGGAAGCUCCUAAAGGUGCAAGUGUUGGUGGGUUUUGGCUACAUUGCACAAGCAGAAUGAAGUAUGAACUUGGUUAUUGCCAUCUAUCUUGAGCCCAGAACAUUGAUAAUUCUUGCCAGUCCCACUGUCCUUGGGCAUGCUCUGAGGAUUCUAAUUCACUAUUACUCUCAUGGUCUAGAGAUGAGGACUAUCUUUUCUUCAAUCUCCCCUAUUGUAACCUGUGACUAAUGCGUUAGUCAUACUGAGCACAUGGAAACCGCAUAAUAGAUAAUAGAAAAACAUUUUAGUCUUCAGCAAGAUCAGCAGGGCGUAGGGAAGUCUUGUAGGUGAGUAAAACAUACUCCUAGCCUUCAAAAGGAACCACCAAAAACUUUUCUGGCACCUUUUUGCCAUAUGUUAUCACAGAGGUGCUUACUACACAAGAUAAUGAUAACGACAACAAACAGAUAUUAUUUCAAAUUUCCUCAAAAUUUAUUUUUUUCACAAAUGCCUUCUUUUAACCAACUUCUCUUCUUCUAGGUCAUGAGCUUGGAAGGAGGUAUAUAUUUAAAUAUUUUUUCUUUCUUUUGUGGUGCUGGGGACUGAACCCAGUGACUUGCUCAUGGUAGGCAAGUGUUAUACCACUUAGCCACAACCCCAGUCUUCAAGUCGUCGACCUGCAUUUGAUUUACUUAUGUGUAGGGGAAUAAUCUAGAGCAUUACUAGAUUUGGAAACAGUAUCUUCUUGAGGUAACAGGCAUUCAAAUCCUGCCUAAUGAACACUGAGUCCCUUCACAUUCAUUCAUUCAUCAUACCAUAUGCCAGGAUACUGUCAAACCAGUUUCUAGAACAUGGGAAUAAUUACAAAGUGACAUUUGAGAAACACUGCAAGCUUGUUGAAAUAAAGAUACACCUGGAUGAAAGACAACAUUUGUACCUUUCUCUGGGACCCAGGGUAUUUGCCGUACUGAGUGAUAAUGAUGUAUCAUAGUGAUAAUGCCACUUCUGAUCCCCUAAUAAUCCCCUGAGGUACUUCUCAAUCUUAUUGUUUUGUCACACAUGAUUAAACACAUCUUGCUCUUACUUAAUAAAUGAACAACACAUUAUGAUUUUUUUUUUCUUUUGGAAUAAUUGACCCAAAUUAGAUAAUUAGAAAAAUAGUUCCCAUAGUAACUCAAAACAGCAGGUUUGUAUGACAUUAUUUCAAAAAUGGAUUUGUUGUAAAAUAAUAUCUUCCUUUGGGAGAUAAGAGUUUUGGCUGGUUACAGGUUCCUAGAAGUCCUGGAGCAAAGGAACUUUAGUGGGAUUUCACAGGGCAUCUAUUAACCUCUCAGUACAGCCACAGGCAAAGACCAGUCCUGAAAUCUGACUUGCAGUUUAGGCUGGCAGCAUCCUCGGGCACCUUUGUCCUGGCAGCCCAGUCCUGGGAACCACCGAGGAUCCUGGUUGCAGUCACCCCACCCUUAUUGGGCCAUGUCUUCACUAGUCCUCAUCAAUCCCCCUUGGCUGUGUUUAUGGGCAGGGUUCACAUCAGGAGCCACUGCCAAUCAUGGGGUCAGUUCCAUGGAGCCUUUGAACGAAGAGGAGAGAAAUGCUGAUGGUAGAGGGAAAAAAAAAAUCUUUCUUUGCUGUUGUCCCUCCAACCAUCACCUCUUGCCUUCAGGAGGCUUCUUUGCUUUGACGUGCAUUUGCUUUCAUUAUUAAUGACUAUGUAGUUCAUUCGUCCUGGGUGAACCAGUAGGGCUAUAUGAGCUAUAAUGGUUUGAAGCACAGUAUACCACAGCCACUUUUCCAGAAAGGGACAGGCACUCCUGAAUAUCGGGCGGACGGCAUUUACCUUAGCCAUAUUAAGAUUAGAAUGAAAUAUGAAGUCUAAGUUGAAAUGAAUGUGGCAACCACAAAGGAGCACCUGUGACUUUACAGUGAAGAUGGGUGGACCGUGACGUGAACAACUGGGUCACACCAGAAAGUGCCAGCUUCCUGUGCAGGAAGCAUCCCACUCAGUCCCAAGGUCAGAAACCUUAGUCAACAGCAUGCCAAGGUUUUCCCCAUUUCCCACUGGGUAUCUGGGUGUGUGGGGGGUGUGAAGGGACAAGGACAAGGACAAGCAGAAGGGUACAGUUACAUUCUGGUCAAUAAUUCCCUUCAUCAGGGACUGUACAUUGUGGCCAGCAGGAUUUCUCAAAGGAGAGUGUAGUUAGGGCAGCUUUGCAAAACCCCAAGGACAAGAUAGCUUAUAAACAAAAGAAAUUGAUUCCUCACAGUACUGGAGGCUGGAGAGUCCAAGGUCAAGGCCCUGGCAGAUACAGUGUCUGGUUAGGACCCAUUUCUUCACAAGACAGCCAAAUUCUCACUGUGCCUCAUAUGGCAGAAGGGGGAGGGAUCUCCCUGGGAUCUCUUUUUAUAAGACAUUGAUCAGAUUCAACCUUCAUGAACUAAUAACCUCCCAGAGGCCCCAUUUCCUAACACUAUCAUCUUGAGGAUUGUGAUUUCAAUAUAUGAAUUUUGAGGGAACACAAACAUUCAGACCACAGAAGAAGAUGACUUUCAUCUGUCGACGUAAUCAGACUGCAUGUCUCACUCUUGCUACUCUUGACACCAGGCACAGUCUUGCCACACACACAUGGGCUGCCUUUGGUGUUCAGCUGCAGGCUUACUUGACUGCUGUUAUGCUCACUUCCAUUUGACAUGCAUGCUCUUCAUGAGGAGGGGAGGGAGAGCUAGAGACUGGUUGCAUAACAAUCAUUAGUUUUAUAGCUGAGCAAGUUAUGAAUAAUCGUGCUUUCAGCAUUUCAUUACCAAUCUGCCCCCAGGAGCAAGAUGAAGCUGAUAAAAAUGUUUAUGGGCUAGUAAAUUUUUUCUACUAAUUUGCAAGGCUCUAAUAAAACCCAUGAACUUGAUGCCCUGCAGGAAACAUAACAAGAACUAGGAACGUGGAGUAAUUUGGAACUAGAAGACCUCUUCAGGCCCGGCAGGAAAUGACUCCCCCAAACAGAUGAAUCAUAGCAGUUUAAACAGAAAAUAAUAAUGCCAAGUUAACCAGUUAUAGUCUGAGACAAAUAUUUUUCAGAAGAAAAUUGUGGAAAUAGCCUACUUUCAAUUAUUCUUGCCUUAAAGAAUACAAUUAAGUCAAAUAUGUAAAAAAAAAA